UCGGGAUGAUUUGUUGGACGCUAGCGGCGGAUGGGUGAGUAACACGUGGGCAAUCUGCCCUAAAGACUGGGAUACCACUUGGAAACAGGUGCUAAUACCGGAUAACAACAUGAAUCGCAUGAUUCAAGUUUGAAAGGCGGCGCAAGCUGUCACUUUAGGAUGAGCCCGCGGCGCAUUAGCUAGUUGGUGGGGUAAAGGCCUACCAAGGCAAUGAUGCGUAGCCGAGUUGAGAGACUGAUCGGCCACAUUGGGACUGAGACACGGCCCAAACUCCUACGGGAGGCAGCAGUAGGGAAUCUUCCACAAUGGACGCAAGUCUGAUGGAGCAACGCCGCGUGAGUGAAGAAGGUUUUCGGAUCGUAAAGCUCUGUUGUUGGUGAAGAAGGAUAGAGGCGGUAACUGGUCUUUAUUUGACGGUAAUCAACCAGAAAGUCACGGCUAACUACGUGCCAGCAGCCGCGGUAAUACGUAGGUGGCAAGCGUUGUCCGGAUUUAUUGGGCGUAAAGCGAGCGCAGGCGGAAUGAUAAGUCUGAUGUGAAAGCCCACGGCUCAACCGUGGAACUGCAUCGGAAACUGUCAUUCUUGAGUGCAGAAGAGGAGAGUGGAACUCCAUGUGUAGCGGUGGAAUGCGUAGAUAUAUGGAAGAACACCAGUGG
rnacentral:rRNA from 1 species